UUCCCCCAUACUGUUCUCGUGGUAGUGAAUAAGUCUCACGAGAUCUGACGGUUUUAUAAGGGGAAACCCCUUUCGCUUGGCUCUCCGAUUCUCUCUUGCUGCUGCCCUGUCGGAAGUGCCUUUCACCUUCCGCCAUGAUUGUGAGGCCUCCCCAGCCACGUGGAACUGAGUCCAUGAAACCUCUUUUGCUUCCCGGUCUCAGAGGUCAUUUGGACACAGAGUCGUGGACAUAGAGAGGAGAGCAACCUGUGAUGAUGGGAGCAGAGAUUGCAGUGGUGCGCCUGCAACCAAGGAACACCACGGACUGCCCACAACUACCAGAAGCUUGGAAGAGGCAAGGGAGGAUUCUUCCCCAGAGUCUUCAGGUGGUGCACAGUCCUGCUGACACCUUGUUCUUGGACUUCCAGCCUCCAGAACUGUGAGAGAAUGAAUUUCUGUUGUUUUAAGCUGCCCAGUUUGUGGUCAUUUGUCAUGGCGGCCCUACGGAACUAGUACAGCCUGGACAAGCUCUAAGAUCUUCUUCCAGGCAGAGCAAGACCUAUAUCCUCUCCCGCCUUGACUCUGCAGAUAAACACAUGUCCUCAGCCAACCAGAUGGACUCAAGGUGACCUCACAAGUGCCUCCCUCUCCUGCUAAGGCCACCUGCCAGGGUCACUGUGUCACUCAGAUUCCCAACCUCAAAGAACCCCAACCUUUGGAGUCAACUCUCAUCAACCAGACACCAUAAUUUAAUUAGAAAAGGGGAGAUUUAAGAUAGAAAAACAAUACAGGACAUGGGUUUUCUGAGCAUGAAAUAGCUCCUGAACCCAAGAAAAAUUUCAUGUUCCAGUAGAAGGGCAUUGAUGACAAAGCCUGCUUCUGCCGUUUACUUGCUGGGGCUUUGGAUAAGACACUUGAGUGCUGUGAAUAUCAAGCUGGUCAUCUUUAAAAUGGGUCUAUCAUUCCUGCCUGGCCAAUUGCUUAGGGUUGUUUGGGGAACAAUUGAGAGAGACCGUGAGUGAACCAGGUUGAAAUGGAAAUUGCAUAUGAGUCUGAGGCAUUGAUUUUUAUUAGGGAGGCUACAAAACCCAGUUUUUAGUGAGAGAGGGAGAAAGUAUGAGAGGGAGAUGCUACUGGAAUUUAAUACUAGUGAGUUUCUCAGGCAGAGCUCAGGAUGAAGAAAUUUAUUUGCUCAAGGUCAACCAGCAAAAACUGGAAAAGACCUACAACUAGAAUUUGGGGUAUAAAAUUGUAUACUUGCUCCUGUUCUACCUUCUCACUGACCCCUUCCCUCCAACCUGCUCUAUGUAUUUUCUUUUUGAGACAGAGUCUUGCUCUGUCGCCCAGGCUGGAAUGAAGUGGCACAAUCUCGGCUCACUGCAACUGCUGCCUCCCAGGUUCAAGCGAGUCUCCUGCCUCAGCCUCCCAAGUAGCUGGGGUUACAGGCGUGUGCCACCACGCCCGGCUAAUUUUUUUUUUUUUUUUAGUAGAGUUGGGGUUUCACCAUGUUGGCCAGGCUGGUCUCAAACUCCUGGCCUCAAAUGAUCCACCCGCCUCGGCCUCCCAAUGUGCUGGGGUUACAGGCAUAAGUCACUGCGCCUGGCCCAUAUUUUAUUUUCUAAAUUGUUUUUUCUAAUUGAGGAAGCUUUUAUUCCUCCUUCUCCCCUCUCAAUUCCUGUCCCUCUCUCUGUCCUUCCUUUUCCCUCAUCCUCUUUCUCUUCCUCUCAAACCUCAUUUUUCCUUUGAAAAGUUUCAAGUAGAAUGAAUUCAGUGUUCUCAGCCGAGUUCCAGCAUAAAGAGCUCACUAUGCACUUCGACAGAAUUAUCUCCUUUGAAGAAUGCCCACUUUAAUCUCCUCUAAGACAGGUUUUUGUGGUGUUAGAACAAAAUGACAUAAUACUCUUCAAGCUAAAAGGCUUAUUAAGUAGCAUUCAGAAAAUCCUGCAACUUCCUCGUAAUUGGAGGCUUAAUUGGGUGGGUUUAAUAGCAUUUGGUUAUUAGGGCUAAUCAAAUAUUCCAGAAUAAUUGACUCAACUUUUUUUUUUGGGGGGGGCAAUUAUCAUCUCUAAUAUUGUUGUGAUUAAAAAGAUACAUCUUGGCUGAGUG
rnacentral:lncRNA from 1 species